CCUACGGGAGGCAGCAGUGAGGAAUAUUGGUCAAUGGGCUUACGCCUGAACCAGCCAAGUCGCGUGAGGGAAGACUGCCCUAUGGGUUGUACACCUCUUUUGUCAGGGAGCAACGCCGGCUACGUGUAGCCGGACUGAGAGUACCUGAAGAAGAAGCCCCGGCUAACUACGUGCCAGUAGCCGCGGUAAUACGUAGGGGGCAAGCGUGAUCCGGAUUUACUGGGUGUAAAGGGAGCGUAGACGGCAGUGCAAGUCUGGAGUGAAAGGCGGGGGCUCAACCCCCGGACUGCUCUGGAAACUGUACGGCUGGAGUGCAGGAGAGGUAAGUGGAAUUCCUAGUGUAGCGGUGAAAUGCGUAGAUAUUAGGAGGAACACCAGUGGCGAAGGCGGCUUACUGGACUGUAACUGACGUUGAGGCUCGAAAGCGUGGGGAGCAAACAGGAUUAGAUACCCUGGUAGUC
rnacentral:rRNA from 1 species